rnacentral:rRNA from 1 species
GAUGAACGCUGGCGGCGUGCCUAAUACAUGCAAGUCGAGCGAACGGACGAGAAGCUUGCUUCUCUGAUGUUAGCGGCGGACGGGUGAGUAACACGUGGAUAACCUACCUAUAAGACUGGGAUAACUUCGGGAAACCGUAGCUAAUACCGGAUAAUAUUUUGAACCGCAUGGUUCAAAAGUGAAAGACGGUCUUGCUGUCACUUAUAGAUGGAUCCGCGCUGCAUUAGCUAGUUGGUAAGGUAACGGCUUACCAAGGCAACGAUGCAUAGCCGACCUGAGAGGGUGAUCGGCCACACUGGAACUGAGACACGGUCCAGACUCCUACGGGAGGCAGCAGUAGGGAAUCUUCCGCAAUGGGCGAAAGCCUGACGGAGCAACGCCGCGUGAGUGAUGAAGGUCUUCGGACCGUAAAACUCUGUUAUUAGGGAAGAACAUAUGUGUAAGUAACUGUGCACAUCUUGACGGUACCUAAUCAGAAAGCCACGGCUAACUACGUG